AGGGGUGAAGGGGCCACCUAAAGCCAGCCUUAAGGGUUUCCCUAAAAAUAAUGAACUCCUCUCGUCGAGCUCGAACAAUCCUAUCCUCGGGGCUAGGGAAUCUAACAUCACAAAUAGGCAUAGUACCAUAUUCCCUAGCCGCAGCAAUAGCUGAGUGCUCUUUUAGCCUACAGGGUUUAUCGAGAUACUCGAAGAUCAUAUUAACUUGAGCAUCGGGUGUAGCCUCUAGGAGAAUAGCCGUCGGAAUUAUCGACGUUCCUACGUCCUCGCUACUACUCGAACUACUGGAUAAAUCACGACCCUAACUACUCGACAUUACUCAAUGAACUUAAGACCUAGCUUAUGGAAUAACUUAGAGUCUCGAGCCUUACCUGGAGUUUCCCAAUGACUUGAGAAGUUUCCAAAGUAUUUUUCUCGAGCACGACCUCGCAGAAUUUAGAUUUACAGUGGGUAAAAGUGAAAAAUAAUGGUGAGAACAGCAGUAUUUAUAGGUGAAAACGACGGGAGGCCAAAUGUCGCCAUCUAUGGCUGUCCAUGAAGACACGUGUUACCAAUCCAAGCUCUAUCUCUGCAAUGGUCAUAUCAAUACCGACCUUUAUCGUCAACCUGUAUUUCUCGACGACGUUACCUAAAGUGAGGUGUUCAUAACUCAGGUUCACCCCAUCCCAGAGCUCGGUCUCUAGGAAAAGUGCACGGGGGCCAAUGAUGAUACCAAUAUUAUAUACCCGAGGACCAUUUCCUCGAGGACUCCAUACGUGCUCCGCCCACUUUUCUGCCAAAUGUCCUCGAGAUCUUUCUAGCCCUCGAGGUAUUUUGGUCCUCGAGGACUACGCAUACGAAUAUAAAAAUCACCCCCUAUGGUCCUCGGGACAUCGUCCAUUAACAGAUCUUCGAGACGUAUGUGCCUAAUAAACGGACACCUAAACACCCAAGAACUCUAUAUCAACUCUUACACCACUAGUCAAACAAUUCCAUUACGAGUAGGACAUUCCUCACAAACAGGACUCCAUUGGAUAAAUACAUCCAACUGGCACAAUCCUACUAGGAGUACACUACUUGCCUCUAUAAAUACAGAACAUUGAGCCAUUAUUCAGGUACGUUCUCAUUAUUCUCCUGUUUAUAGCGUCACGCACAUAUUUUCCUUUCUGACUUAAGCAUCGGAGGGGCGACAAGAACACAUCUCGUUGCCUUUGUUUCAGGUACCAGAAGGCUGCCAUCGUGCUUAUUCAGAGUCCUCAAGCUCGGGGAUCCAACAUGUACGAUUUUUGGUAGCAUCAUCAAGUUUUUUGUCCCAUUGGAUUUUCAUGAUAAAAUUUUUAAGGGGUACAUUUUUAUAGCAUAUUCAAAAGAAUAAUAUUUUUUUCAUUAGAUUUUAAUGAGGCAUAUUCUUUGUAUAAUAAAUGUCCAUGAUAUAAGAUACACUCAAAAUAAUACUCUAUAUGUAUGAGACCUCUGAAGAUAUCAUCAAGAGCUAUUUUUCAAAUCAUCGGGUUAAUACCAUCAUCAAAGAUCGAUAAAUAUCUUGUAUCAAGACGGUGCCAAUUGAAAACUAUACAAGAUAACACGAGACAUACUUCACCUGAGAUUACAAUAUUGAAUAUAUUGACGUAGAAGACAUGGAUGACUCGAUAUAAGAAUUUUUAUUUAUUGAAAUCAAGGGGAGCAACUGUACUCUUUUUCCUUCGAUCAGUUUUGUGUCAUUGAGUUUUCUUGACAAUGUUUUAACGAGGAAACAUUUUAUUACUUCAAAUUAUUUAGACUCUUUUUUGUUGGCAUUUUUGUCUCAUUGGAUUUUUGCCAAAUAAUGUUUAAAUGAGAUAAUUAUUGUGUAAAUAAUCAUUUAAGGAGGAGUGUAGUAAAUAUAAUAAUAUUUAUGAAUAACUUAUAUACCCUACAGUCCUAAUCAUUAUGAUUAUUGUAUUCUUUGUAACCCUAAUUAUUCUCUAUAAAUAUGAGACUUUGAUUUUUAAUAAAACAUACAAUUAUAUUGGAUUCUCUCUUUUGUUCUCUUUUUAUAACAAUAUAAAUAAAAUAUGAACUAUGACUAAAAAUGUCAAACAAGAAAUUAUAAAUUGAGAACUUGGCUAAUAUAUAUAUAUAUAUAUAUAUAUAUAUAUAAUAAACUCUCAAACAUCAAUUGCACUGUUUUAUGUUACUAGAAGUUAUCCCAAAUCGAACCCUCUUAUAAACGUCUAAAAUCAAGAUGUAUACAUGUGUAAAGUUGCCUAAGGGCUCAUAGAGUUGAAAUUGUUGGAUAUUUGAUACCCAAUAAUCCCGGACGAUGAAAUUAAACAGUGUCGGAUAGUCGGAUUAGAUUUCAUAGGCUUCGACCGAUGAUUGAAAUAUUUAUUAACACACUCGAUUAAUUGGCUCGACCCAAAAAACAACUUGAGGGUCGUUUGAAGCAACUUAAUAUAGUUAAUGUUGCUCACGACCCAUUUACUUCUUGGAUGGCUCAAUUUGUGUUCCGCCCCCUUUACCCAUUAGUUGGUCCAUGAGCCCAUUAUAUUAUUACACCCUAAACCUAUAUAUUGCUCCCAUUUGUUGAAAGAGCCAUGUGUUUUGCAAUUGAAAAGAGGAGCCGACAUUUUUCCCUAGUUUUCUCUCUUGAGCCUUAAAAACUGAAUCCGUCUUCCUCUAUUCUUGGUGAUUCAUUGCAGCCACCAUAUUGUGUUCUUUGUGAACACAUUGACUUGAGCAACUGAAGUAAGAAUCAUGAUUGUUUGGGUUGGAGCCAUUGUUGGGUGUGUUUAAUAAGAUAGAGAUUGGCGAAAUUAGGCCCGAAAAAUCCACCAUCGGAGGUCGAUUGUUCAACAUUUGUAUCAGAGUGAGGUUGGGGUGGAAUUUCCGGCCAAAAUCCAACCAAAAAAUAGGCAGAAAUCAAAAAAAUAAAACUGUCCAAAAAAUUUUCCCAAAAAUCGGAUCUGCAACUUCAAUUUUCGGCAAAUCCAGACGUCUUUUGGAGAAAUGGAGGCCGGAUUCGUGAUCUGCACGUGGAGGCGGUGCUGGGUGGCCGACGGCGAUGGCGGGGGCACGUGGCUUCUUCGGCGGCCCGUGGGCCCGAUUCUGGGGAAGGUGUCUUCAAAUAGUUUGUUCCUCAUAUUAUUUCUAACAUUUUUCGUGUUGAAAGUUUUCUGUUUCAGGUAACAUAGAAAAAGUUGGACGAUUUUGCCCCUGGAAAUCAAACUACAUUUCUUGGCGAGCUGCACGGUUAUAUUUUCUGAAUCUUUAGGACGAAUAGUGGUGGUCCUAAAGUAGCAGAUUCGCAUAUCUCUCGAUUAUAUGGACUCAGACACGUCCGCUCUGGUAAAUUGGCUUAACCCGUUAAUUUAAGCAUUAGUGUGUCACCGCGUGGGAUGACAAUAGGUUGGGGGUUGUCAUUGCUUGGCAUCCAUUGCUUGUGCUAGAAAUUAGGAUUACUUGCACUUAAUUGUUGCGAUUGAGUACUUAUUUUUGAAUAAAUUAGCGUAUUGUGCUUUGUGCUAAAAUUGUCGUGAAAUUUCAUUUGAUUGGAUAUACCUAUUUUGUUGCAUCGUAAAUUCCACUGUGUUGUUACUUUCGUUAGAAUACCUAGACCUUAUCCGUUCAAACGUUCCCUUGAUCUAAGACAGCGAGUCUUACGAAACCCUGGGAAUCUAGAACGGUGUAUAUUGCGACCGUAGGAUUACUUUGUGUGAUCUAUUUGCCUAAUUGAUUAUUUCGUUUUUCAAAAAUGUCUUCACAUUUCGAAGUUGGUAUUUUCAAUGGAAAGGGUGAUUUUUCAAUCUGGCAACAAAAAAUGGAGGGUAUUUUAGUCCAACAAAAAUCUGGCAACAAAAAAUGAAGGGUAUUUUAGUCUAACAAAAGGUUUCAAAAAUCAUUGAAGGCAAUUUUCCAGCUAAUUUUUCAAAAGAACAAAAAGAAGAAGCCGAUGAGCUUGCUUAUACCUCAAUCAUUUUACAUCUGUCUGAAGCUGUUUUGAGAAAAAUAGGAAAAUUGAAAACUACAAAAGAUCUUUGGAAAAGGUUGGAAGAUCUAUAUUUACUUAAAUCCACUCCAAUAAACUUUAUCUUCUUGAGCAUUUCUUCAGUUUUAAAAUGGAUCCUUCAAAGGAUCUUGAUGACAAUUUAGAUAUUUUCAAUAAACUUGUGCAAGAUAUUGUUAACUGUGAAGAAAUCAUAUCUGAAACUUACAAGACUAUAAUCUUGCUUAAUUCUAUGCCUGAGUCAUAUAAGGAAGUUAAAAAUGCCAUUAAAUAUGGUAGGAAUACAUUGACUCCCGAGAUUGUCGUAGACUCACUUAGGAGUAAGGAGAUGGAAAUGAAAGUUGAAAAUGAAGAUAAGAGGAGUGGUGAGUUACACAUGAUAAGGCGUGGGAUGAAGUUUAAGAAAAUGAAUUUGGGUAGAGUUCAAAAUAGCGGUGAUUCGAGUAGUGACUCGAGUGAUGAAGGUGGUAAGAUGAAGGGCAAGGGACGAGACAAGUCUGGUGGUAGACGAUGUUAUAUUUGUGGUAAGUCUGGACACUUUAUUAGGGAUUGUCCCAAGAAGAAGGAUAAGCAGAAGGGUUAUGUGAGGGGUGAGACGAAUGUGGUUGAGGGGUCGAGUUAUGACCCCAGUGAGGUUUAUUGAGAGAGUAAACCUAGUCACUGCAUAUGCAUCUGUGUGUGAUCCUUUCAGCAUGUGCGUGAUUGCCUAAUUUGUUGCAUGACUAUAUGUUGCAUUUCAAUUUGUUUGAUAUGUGUGUCUACAUGAAUUUUGAGGUAAUGUGAUUACUUGGUGUGAUCGUUUGCAUGCAUAGUGGGUUAGGAUGCAUUAGCAGUGUGUUAGAUGUCUUUUGGUAAGGUGAAGUAUAGAUGUCUAGGGGUACAUGGUGAUUUGUAGCGGGGAAUGUGGAGUGUGACAUUUGGAUCACGAGUGGAGAUGUGAUCAAAUGUGUAGAAAUCUUUUAUCUGUGAAAGAGACCCUGUACAGGUGGAGUGCGAGAGAGGCACUUCUAUCACUUCUAUAAGGUGGAGUCCCAUUAUCCACGUAAGUUAGGAGAAGUGAUGGUUAUAGAGGAUUAUUCCUGAACUUAGGAUCUACUGUGACUUGUCAUUUUGACAUGAGUUGUGUGAUCUAUUUAGUUAGCAUGGUGGGCGAUGAGAGGAGAUAUGUGUUCUCGAGGUGGGAGUAACACGAAAUGGGAUAGGAUAAGUGUGGUGAGAUCUUUCAUGAGGUCAUUUAUGCAUUUGUUGCAUAUGUGUUUGACCGUGUGCUGAUUAACUUGGUGUUAAUCUUUAAUUCUGUGUGAACGUGAAUUUGAAAAGAUCUGUGUGAUGUAUCCUAUAUAAUAUCUUUAUCGCAUGAUUAGUUGUUCACUGUAAGUACUUGUUUCUACCUGGGUGUUUUUUGGACUUUAGCCCCGAUGAGUACAUGGAUCAGGUAUGGUGUGUGUUUCGGUUCGAAACACGAGGUAAGGUCUGAGAUACCAAUUUUAUAGGAUUACCUUGAUUGUGUAAGUUUAAACUUUGUGUUUUGGUUAAUUUGCAGAUUAUUGGGCAUCAAAGUGGAGAUUGUUGGGUUUUUGAUAUCCAAUAAUCCCGGGCGAUGAUCUUAAACAAUGUCGGAUAGUCGGAUUAGAUUUCAUAGAUUUCGGUUGAUGAUUGAAAUAUUUAUUAACACAUUCGAUUAAUUGGCUCAACCCGAAAAACAACUUGAGGGUCGUUUGAAGCAACUUAAUAUAGUUAAUGUUGCUCACGACCCAUUUACUUCUUGGAUGGCUCAAUUUGUGUUCCGCCCCCUUUACCCAUUAGUUGGUCCAUGAGCCCAUUAUAUUAUUACACCCUAAACCUAUAUAUUGCUCUCAUUUGUUGAAAGAGCCGUGUGUUUUGCAAUUGAAAAGAGGAGCCGACAUUUUUCCCUAGUUUUCUCUCUUGAGCCUUAAAAACUGAAUCCGUCUUCCUCUAUUCUUGGUGAUUCAUUGCAGCCACCAUAUUGUGUUCUUUGUGAACACAUUGACUUGAGCAACCGAAGUAAGAAUCAUGAUUGUUUGGAUUGGAGCCAUUGUUGGGUAUGUUUAAUAAGAUAGAAAUUGGUGAAACUGAGCUCGAAAAAUCCACCAUUGAAGGUUGAUUCUCCAACAGAAAGUUCUGAAAGAAAUUCUUCAUUUAUUUGAUUAAGUAAUUCAUUGGAUGUGUUAGCGUGGUCCUACCAAGAUAUGCCUAGAAUUGAUCUUAAAAUCAUGCAACAAAUGAUUUCCACUUGUCCAAAUGCUAAGCCAUGAGGCAGAACGAGACGGAGAUGGAUUAGAUUGAUCCCAUGAAUUCCAGUUGAUAAAUUGCCUGUGAUGUAGGGAACAUAACGCACUCCUAGACUUGCAUACUGUCUUUUUGGAUUCGAGCUAACAAACCUGUCUUCAUCAAUUCCAAAUGGAAUUCAAGGAUUGUUUGAGCCGCGUUCUCUUCACAAAAAUACAUUUUGUAAUAUAUUAUGAUGGAGAAUGUGUGGUUGAAAAAUAAAGAAAAAUUUUAAAUUUACGUGUGAUAUUAUUUUAUUGAAAAAUGUGUGAUUGAAAUAAGGUCAAAUCACUAUUUAAAAAUACAUUUUGAUAGAAAAAUGGGGCUCGAUUCAAACCCCUUCCUAGAUCAGCAUAAUUCCACAUGUUUCAUGCGAUCCAAUACUAUUCCUCCUAAAAAGUUAGAAAUUUUUUUAUUUUUUUUUAGACGAAUGGAGCUGCCAAGUUCACUCGUAAAUAAGUAAACAAACAAAUGUUGUUUAUCCAUCAACACUUAAAAAUCUGGGUGAUUGUCUAGCUCUGAAGAAGAAUUACAUGAUGACGCUCUUCACGAAAAUAAAAAAUAAUGGAACCAUCUGAACUUGUCAAAAACGUAACAUAUUACACUGACAACUCUGAAAGGAGAGUUGCCCUUAAAUGCAUAGAUAAAAUUACUCUUCUUGGAACUUAUGGUGUGUGGAAGGAACACGAACAGAGGAAAAAACUCGAGAGAAACUAUUUACUUGCUGCAAGAGCCUCCAACUCUGUUUGACUGACUGAAAUAUGGGAAAGCUCCAAUUUGAUAGACUCAAAAUCUGUGCUCUCUCUUUCUUCCUUUGACAACCAUGUCGAUAAAUAUUGCUUUAUGAACUCACUGGCAGACGUGAAAGUUGAAAUGCCCCUUGAAACCUUCGUCUGUCCAAAUCUCGUAAUAAGUUUCAAAUUUGAGUCAGUGGGAUCUUUGACAUAAGUUUCUAGGAUUUCUUUGAUGGCAUUGCACCAGAUUGGCCGAGCCACCUUAAGGAACUCGUGCACCACCAUCACUGGAAGACUCACACUUCCCAUCUCGGAUUCGUGCUGACCACUUCUCCCAUGAUAGUCCGAUCCUCCAAGUUUCAAAAGAUUUUGUGCAUCAGCCAAAUCACUGUAUACUAUAUUGAAACAAAGGGUGAAUUAAAAUAUCAACAUAAAACCUUACAAACUAGAAUUAAAACAUACAUUUGUAGUUCCUUCGCAGUUGAUCUAAAUAACAACCAAGAAGAAAUCAUUUUUCAAAAACUCUCAUAUACAGCUAAUCAGAAUAUGACCCGUGCAGCCAUAUCUGCAGCAGGUUGUCAUUUGAAAAUCAUUCCUAUUUCUUUUUGGAAGGGCGGGGACGGGGGUAUAUAAUUCUAGAAUCUCUAGUUGGAAAGUCAACUAGUCCUCUGGUGAUGGUACUUAGUACCAUUAACUAGUACAACAUUUCGCCGAUAACUUCAAUAUUAAAAUCUGUUAAGCUCAAAAAAAUUAAAAAAUUAAAAAAAUCAUAAACGUUUUGGGUGAAUUACAUGAGAGUAGAACUAUAUAUAAAACGUACGUACCUUCGAGUUUUCCAUCGUUUCGGUAAGCCUCUAUCCCAUGUAGUCCUGCUUCUUUCAGUCUUCUGAUGAUGGUGGCAGGAUUCUUCAGUGCCCAUGGAUGUGCCAGCACUGCAAUACCUCCCGUUUCACGUAUCAAUUCCACAGCCUCCUCAGACACUGGCUCACUUCCCCUGCACCAAAGAACAUGCAAAACUUCUACAUUGGACUAUUUGAAAACAUAAAAACCAGCAAACAAAUAAAGCCAAGUUGACGAUGUCAAAAAUAUUACAUAGAAUAUGCAGGUCCACCAUCAUAAAGAUACUGAGUAAAAGCCUGUUUUAGAUUUUCUACAUGGCCAGCUUCUAGCAGAGCACGAGCAAGAUGGAGCCUCCCAGGAGCAACACCCUUUCCUGCAAUCUUGAUUAGAUUUUCCCAUUUAAGAGGCAUCUUGAGCUUGUUCAGUUUUGAGAUCAUGUUUUUCGCACGGAUGAAGCGUCCAUCCCUAAUAUUACCUAAGAACUUCUCGAAUUCCUCAGAUUUUUUUGGCCCCCAACUGCUGUAAUAUGCGAGAAUGUGAACAGGUUCUUUUGGUCCCGACUCUCCUCUGCAAGUCAUUUUACAAAAUAAAUACAUAGUACAAGAAAUAAUUGCAACGUUCUAGAUAAUCACUACCAUGAUAGUAAACAUUAAGCAAAUGAAUACACAGGAAAACAAUAACCUUGUGGAGAACAUUGUACUAAUUUCAACACCAGGUAUAAUCUUGAUGCCAAAUCUGCGUGCUGCUUCCAGGGCUUCAGGGAUUCCAGACAUCGUGUCGUGAUCCGUUAAAGCAAGCACUUUGACCUGUUAUGGACAGACUUACAAAUUAAUAGCACAACUAAUUAUGAUCUAAAAAGGAUUAUUCUAAGAAAAUAAUUUGUCCUCAAAGAUAAAAUUACACUGUUCUUGAUAGAAACCAAAAAAUAAAAGAACAACAAACAAUGUUGGAGGAUAGAUUAUCUACAUAAUCACGAUACAACCUGAGCAAACAGCAUUAAACAUAAAGGAUAGAUCUCCAACAACACAUGAUAUAUCAAAUAAUCACAAGAAAUAGAAUUAUAGAACAUCUUCUCUCAGAUUUUUAUGUCACACACAAAAUCAAAUUAGAUUUAUAUGUUAUACAGAUGGUAAAUCUUUAAUUUACUCUCUCUCUCUCUCUCUCUCUCUCUCUCUCUCACACACACACACACACACACACAUUCAUGCGAUUAUAAAGCUUCCUUGUUCACAGAAAUUCCUCUGCAUAUGUUUUAGAAUUCAUUUUUAUAGAUGAAGGCAAAGUUCCUCUUGGAUUUCAAUAUUGUUCAAUAAGCUGUAGUUAUUUUACAAUUUCCUUAUUGAUUUAUUUGAUUGUUCCAGAAGGUUGCAGGACCAACACCAAGAAGUCAUUAUUUAAAGCGAAAGGAAAUAACUACAGAACACCCUCUAUCGCGAACUCCUACCCACCCCCUUACUACCAUUCCUUCAAAGAGAAAAGGAAAAAGAACCUCUUUUUGGAGGCGUGCACACACAAAUAAAAACAAAGCCACUCAAUGAACACCAACAAAUACAUACUCUUGGAAUGUGAUCGUAUCGAAUUUCAGAAAGGACAUCUGACUUUGCGAUGACAAGAAUAGUUUUUGCUUACAUGUAAACUAAUAUACAUUGACCUGCUUUUAUUUCCAUUCUUCUAGCCUUUCUGGUAGUAACUUCACAAUUAAUGCCAGUAAGGCCAUUUGGUAGGCCUAAACAGGUUAUUAUCUAUUAACAUUUUUCUUCUUGCAAUAUUUUGCACAUUUAGAAUAAAUGAUCAGGAAGAAUUGUAAAAGAAUGCAAAAUGCUACCAAAUGCAUUGAUGGCAUAGAAGAUCUGCAGAGACGAGACAUCUAUAAGACAAACAAUUUGUGUCUCGUGCUUCUAUGACAGCAAUCAACAUGAAAUUUGAUGAUUAAGUUGAAAAGCUGGCAUAUGGAUAAGGAAAAGAUGAUAUAAGUUUUACAACCUAACUCUGUCUCCUUCCCCUUCACAGUGAAAAAUUGAGCCAAAAUAAAAUACCCCAAGGAGUGUCAUAAACCUACAAAAAUGAUCCUUCUUGAUAAUUCUGAAAUGUUCUAUCCAAUUCAUACAACACAGUUCUCAAAUUGUCACCUACAUUAUCGUGUUCUGCACUUGACGACAUUUAAACUACAAGAUCAGAAUGCUCCGGUUUUGACUAAUGUGUGGAGACCAGAGACUUCAAAACUUAAUUCCAAUACUAAAUUGAGCCCAAAGGAAUCAUUGAUAGUCUAUGCACUGUCCGAUUUCCAUCGACUUAUGUACUCAACUGACUCCAAAGUUGAAGAGCUUAUAUAUAAAGUUAUAAACAUACCUAGGAUUGUAGAAUUUUUGCCUUAAAAUUCGUCACAAUUCAAUCAUCUACCCAACUUUUCCAAAAGAAGAAGCAAAAGGGUGAACUUUGAUAAUCAGAACACAAUUCAAUCAGAAUGAAAUUUAACAAUAUGGGGAAAAUAUCAGAUACUUGAUCCAAAAAAUCAUCAAAUCCUUUCGUUUAUAAUUGAAACACCAAUUGCAUAUGAACAGGGUGAAAAUAGAAAUAGCACAUUCAAAUGUAUAACAAAACCAAUUCAAAGGAAAAUUCAUCUUCCGUAACUACAAAAAAUGAAGAACACCCCCCACCCCCAAAAUAAUAAUAAUAAUUGGAAAAUGAAAGAAAAGCUCACCCCAUUUUGAUGAGCUCUCUCCACAAGCUUGGAAGGAGACAAGAAUCCAUCACUGCAUGUUGAGUGACAGUGAAAUUCAAAGACAAGUUUUUCUUUUGGCUGGUACCAUUGCACCCCAAAGUCAUCCAAAACCGAAUCAAAAAGACACAUUGAAUUAAAGCUAUUAUCAUUAGACCGGUCCAAGAAAACCCAUUCCCGGACUGAUUUGUAUGCCACUGUUUGUUCAAGGGUCAUUUUCCUCUUGGCACCGCCUCUCUUCUUUUUCUUCUUUUUCUUAGAAUUAUUAUUGCUGUUAUUAACAAUUGGCUUUUUCGAGCUUUCUUUAUCAGCCAUCAUUUGAUUUUGAGAGAAAAAGGAAAUAAAUGAUAAUGACGAAGCAGGAGAAAAAUAAUGAAGAAGAAGAAGAAGAAAGGAGGAGGGAAUCGUUGGGUUUUAUUGAACAAUUGAGGUCAAGCGGUAGGAUCUGUGUAGGGUAUAUAUCUAUUUGUUUUCGAAUAUAGUACUUUGUUCUCUAUCUUUUCUCGUUAAAAUAAAAAAAAUAUUAUCGUUAUUCAUAACAUUGAGUCAUCAAAUUAAAAUUUUUAUAUUUUGUAUGGGACUCAUAAUAAUUAUAUUUUUCAUUUUCAUUUUUAAAAAAAUGAGAAACAAACAAUAGUCAUAGAAAUUGGAGAAGAUAUCUUUACAUGGUUUCUCUGAAUGGAACACUCUCAGGGAAAUUUUCUUUUCUUUUUUUUCUUUUCUAUUUAACAUGAAAAUAAUGCAUAGAUUCCUUAUCAAACAAAAAAUAGAGAGAGAGAGAGAGAGAGAAAUUAAGAUUCUUGAUUGUACUUGUGGUUUCAAAAUGGACCUACUAACUUGGAACUUGUUUGCAUAGAUAUUUGAAAAUUAUUUUUUUUUAAACUUAUUUUUAAUCAUAUAUGUUCACAGUUUAAUAAUUGAACACGCGAACAUAUAAUUUUUCAUUACUAUUUAACACACCUUCUCUAGAAUUAUUUUUCCACUUCAAAUGAAUAAAAAUUGAAAUUGAGAUUUGCCAUCCUACAAGGUCAAAAUAAAUCUGAUUAGGCACUAAACGAAACUAAAACACGGUAUAAGGCUAGCCCUAAUAGUUGAUUAUUGGGCCCGAUCAUCCUAUCAAUUAGUUAUAUGUGUUUGUUUGGUAAGGAUUUUGAUAAUUGAUUUUUUGACCAUUAGAGAUAAAUUGGAUCCUACCUGUGAGAGAAAAAAUCAAAAAUAACGAUUGAAAUAGUGAAAUAACAGUCAAAAAUUGAUUUUAAUUAACUUUUAAAUUGUACCAAAUAAGUUGAACAAUUUUCAACUACAAGAAUAAAGUGUACACUAUUGUUUAUAAAUAUAUUGAUUUUCAUUUUCCCUCCAUUAUUACUUUUCUUGUACACAACCUUUUAAUCCUUUGGGUAAUUUAACUUUUGUUAGGCGGUUCUCUUCUAAAGCCUGUCUCCCACUAAAACAGGACGUUGCCAGUCCCCUGAACCUGAUCCAUUCCUCCCACUCCUCUUUUUCACAAUUUAAUUUUCAGAUACGACGUGACGUUAUCAAUCUUCUUUUACUCAAAAUAAAGUCUUAGAAACAAUAUGAAAAUUUAACAAGAAUUAAAAGUUUUUUUGUCAGGAAAAAAUGUCAUCCUUAUUGACUAAUACCCACAUGAGGCUCAAAAAAAGGUCAAAUAAUUGCUGCUGCCUAUCGUGAGAGGGCUGUCAGAGAAGGUGUCAAACCCUCAAAGCAAAGCAGGAUUGAUUUAACAAUAUCAUGACUGAAUUCUGUCUAUGGUGAUCAGGAAAUAUAUACUUACAUGUUCUUUGUCGCUUGAAUUAAUGCAUAUGCAAAAAUAUUUGAAGCUAUUAUAUCAUGUAAUGACGAUCAAAAAUCUAUAACAAAUAUUUAGCUCGAGAUUAAUGCACUGUCUCCUCCAUCAUUUAGUAAUUACUAGUUAUAAACUUAUGUUUGGAGAGGAGAUAUUUCUUAUACUAUUUCAACGACCAAUGAGAUGGUACAUUAGGCAACUAGGGCUAAUUGUUCAAGCGGCACAACCCAUUGUUUUCCACGGCUUUUUGAUUAUUUGGAUUAAAAUCUUCAUUAUUUUUCGGUAUUUAAAAAAAAUGAAAAAGAAAAUUUGGUUGGAGAGCUGAAUGACAGAUGGUCUAAUCAGAUGUAGAGUGCAGAGGCCCUCAGGCCCCCUUGCCAUAGAAAUGUUAUAGCUGAUUUUACUGAGACAGCAUCUUUCCACCUGUACACCCAACAUUUUCCAAGAUGCAUACAGUGCAUUUGUACAUAACUUUAACUGUCUAUAACCACCGACCAAACAGCUCCAAUUCAAUUCGAUUAAUGGGUUAGGUUGGCCCGCCAAAUACGGACUAGGCUCGCCCACUCUGAUUGUUUCCCUUUCCUAUUCAAGAAAAUAUAUUUUUUCUACUUAUCUUGUACAUUUUCCUUCUAUUUUAACCCUACGAGUGUCCAUUAGGUGUGGGGGAAAGGUGGUUCCACCAGGAUAUCUACUAGGAUCAUUUGUUUUACAGCAAAAAAAUAAAAAAUAGUAAAAGAAAAGGAACCAGAAAUACAAUUUUUAUAUUUGUGCUGAAUAAGAAUUUAUGCAAUUUUACAAUAUAAAAUAAAGGAAAAGAAAGCAAAUUUUAUUUAAUACUGAAAGCGGUAAAAGAUGGAUAAAUAUUACAUAACUGACUGCGAAAAACAAAACUUUUAGAAAUUAUUAUGGUUCAGUGUAGUUGUGACUGGUUGAAGGAAUUUCGCCGUGCUGUAGCCAGAACGGUCUUGUCAGCCACAAUGAAAUAUGCCAUUCCAGCCACUGUUAUUUAAAUCAAAAUAAAUAUUACUUACUGUAAAUUAAAACUGAACAAGUUUCAAUGUAAAAAAGUAACCUGUGGAAACGAUGAGAGCUUGAGCGGUGGGAUUGAGAUUGGCUCUCACCCAAGGCACCAUUCUUGCACUUGCCAACUUUUUUAACACAUAUAAAAGUAGGGUUUAUAAUAAGUUCAAAUUAAUUAAACAUGUAACAAAGCCUAUUAUUAUUAAUUUAAUUGAUGUUAUGUACCGUCGGAAUCGCAGUAGCAAUGGAAGCCAUGACAGCUGCUUUGGCUCCCGCCAUUACACCUUCUGCAAAUACAAUUAAAUAUGUUUAUUAAACUGUUCGUUUAGUAUUGUACGAAGAAACAAAGAUAAUGAUGUUAUGUACCAUGAGAACAACGUUUGGCAAUGGCUAGCUUUCGAUCGAGGGAAGCCAAACUGGUUAUUUCAGUAGCAUUCUUGGCCAUUGUGUUGUGGUUUGGUUAAUUGGUUGGUAUAUAGUUACUUAGGGAGAUGUUAGUGGAGUUUAUUGAUUUAGUUAGGUAUAUAUUUAUAGAAAGCAGUCAAUGUUUAAAUUGAUAGCAGCCCCCUGAAUCUUGAUCCAUUUCAGUACAACAUUUGAUGGUUUCAUUGUCAUUUCUAAGGUCGGAUUCGGAUUAACAUUUUAUGGUCGGUUGCCAACUUAAAAUUUCAACAUAACCCUUCUGUCUCAUAUACAUGCCAUGGACAUUCGUAAUUUGUUUUGAAUUAAGUCCCUGUUUGGUAGCAAUUCAUCUAAAAAAAUUAAUUUUUUGAUCGUUAUUUUAUAAUUUCAGUCGUCAUUUUUGACUUCUUUACUUACUGAUGGGACUCACUUUUCUCUCCAACGAUCAAAAAUCAACUCUUAUAAUCACUAUCGAACAUGCCCUAAAAAUUUAUUUUCAAGAGCGAUUUUGAAGUGUCGUGUCACAAUUUCUCAUUUCUAUAUCUGAUCAUCUAUCCGUUCUCAUGUUUGGUUCAGCUCAAUAUGAUUUCCAUCAAAACCAGGAGGCAUAAUGUAACAUGGUUGGCACUUGAGGUGCGUACAGAUCCAAAUAAAAGUUUCUCUUUAUCAUCAAUGAAUUCAUAAAAAUGUGAUUUUCCCCAAUUAUAAAAUAAUUUCCCGGAUUUUAUUGCAUCUUUUCAUCCACUGCCACUGGUUUGGUGUCCAAAACCAUGGGAAGAAUUCGCCUGGAUCUGGACCCAACAACACUUAAAAGUCCAUCGGAUUUCAACGUAUGUCAACAAAAAAACACAGAUGUAUUUCUGUGUACUGUAUAUGGAAAGGAUGGAUACCAAAAUAAUUGAAAUCCAGACUUUGACAUUUUUUUUUUUAAUAUAUCCAAGUAUCCCAUCUUACACUAGACUAAAUCCUGGAUCUCCAAAAUCCAUGCCCCUAGAACCUUGGAGGAGGUAAAUCGCGGGUUAUGCCUCAACUGGAUCACAGGUUCCCCCUAUUGACUGUACACUUCUGCGCACAAGAGACCCUCCUCCACAGUAAUUGCUCCAUACCAAAUUUUUGGCCGCAGGUUCCCACCAAGAAUCGAAUUCUCCACCCUGCCGCUAGAAGCAAGUCAAUGUUGAUUGAUCCACCAGUUGAACUGUGCCCCGGGGCUCCAGACUUUGACAUUUUCCAUUUGACAUAUGGAUACCAAAGCUUCAAUUUAAUCUUACCUUUACAAAUUAGCAAAGAUUUAUUUGAAGGGAUCUAUCUACUCUUUUGAAACAAAAUCAUUGCUCUUAGUUCUAAAAACCCACUUGAGUGUAUGUUCAGUAUAAUGUACAAGCUAUUAUUGUGUUCUGUAUUUGUCCAACACAACAUCCCGAACACCAAUGACUAUUCCCUAAUUGAGAAGCAAUGCUUUUUAUCCCUUGAACUAAAAUAGAUACGUAAAACUUCACAUCUCUACUCAAUUUCUAUAUAUAAAUAGUGAUGACAACGGUGCGGGUGUCCAGCCGCCGCCCCGUCUAACUUCACAUCUCUACUCAUUUUCUAUAUACAAAUAGUGAUGGCAACAGAGCGGGUGCCCUGCCCAGCCCCGCCUUGCCUUAGACGGGGUGGCGGCUUGCCACAUUUAUUUUUUCAUAUUUUUUAUUAUUUUUACUAUUAUUUUUUUAAUUUUUUCUCUUCACGGGGCUGAGCAUCCCCCGCCUCGCCAACCCAUCGAGAUGGGGCAAAUUGCCAUCCCUGUAUGCAAAAGGUUCCAAUACUUAGCAACAUGGACUUGUCAAUGAAAUACUUUUCUCAACCAUAAAGUAUUAUUCCAUAUGUACCGAAUGGUGUCCCCCUUUCACAAUGCAUGCGGGCUCCACGUGACUUUAAAAAUGCCGAUAUAUGAUCUUCACUCCUGUUGUGAGUAGUAAGUAAAAAAUUUGAUAAAAAAAUUUAAUAUGUGUAGCAUUGUCCUAAAGUAAAAUCUACAUUCUCAAAAAAAAAAAAAAAAAAAAAGUUAAUAAAAAAAAAAAAAAAAAAAAAAAAAAAAAAGUAUUGCAACUGGAAAAAAUGAGUGCAACUUUUAGGAAAUAAGCACAAAAAGGUUCACACAUUUAUUAAAAUUUAUUUGAUGAACGAACUCCCUCAAUAAGAAACUUUCAAAGCUUGGCUGCUAGUACCGCUAACUAAUAAAUGAGAUUGAAUGUGUAACAAACGUGCCAUCAGUUUAGAUGUAAUUUUCCAUAGUACAAGUUUGGUAGAAACUGUGAAAUGUAGACAUCACAAUAACAAAAAAAUCUGAACUCUCCAGAGUUAUCAGAAAACAAAGUUGAAAAAUGCCACAAACAACGUGUCAGUAUCAAAGGUAGAAAGCAAUUCAAACUUAAUUUUUAUUUACCACCAAGAUCAAAUAUUAGCAAGUAAUAAAACCUAAACAUUUCAAUCUGACAACUAAUAGUGAAGGUGCUUAUCAGGAAAUUUGCUUUUAUGUUUUGUGGAGUUCUUGAAAUCUACAUUAUGUAGUUCGGAAACAAAACUUGGCAAAUGGUUAAAACUUAAAAGAAAGGUUCUAUAAGCAAGACGUGGCAAGGUGACAGGAUCAAGCCUCAAGAAGUUUUCUUAUUUUUAAUAUUAUUUCAAUCAUUCUAAGAUUAAUAACAAUAAUAAUAAUUCAUUUUACUUAAUUAGUUUAUUUAACUAAGAAAAGAAAAAAGGAAAUAAGGCGCAUAAGACCUGCAUUAGCCUACCCUUUUGGUGCUUAGAUCCUUAUUAUAGGUGGUCGAAAAAGGGUUAACUACCAUUUUCACACCUUUUCCAUAUGCAGGUCGCCUUUUCACGCCACAUGCAUAGCAGCAUAGGCCCUGCCUUUUAGAAAACUAGUUGAGAGAUAACCUCCAAGAAUAACUUGAUUUAAAAACUUCUAGUUUUUAAUGUAUAAUCAGGCCUCCAUUCCAAGCUUUAGACUGUUCAUGCUUGGCUUGAUAUCAUAGAAGAGCAAAAAAAUUGUUCAUUUUGAAGCUAUGUCUAACCAAACUACUGUCUUUGUGUGCCUAAAUUAAAACCCAACUUGGUUGAUUUACAUUACACUUACAACUAAACAAGCCGGGCUCGACUAGAAUCCAAAAAAUUUUAGAAGCUAAAAAGUAUGCAUUGUCUCUCCCAAGUCUCUAUACAAUAUUCAACAAGAUAUAGAGAAAGUGAGCACAAAUUGAUACAUAGCUGCUUGAGCCUAUAUACAACUGUAGACACUUCAGGAUAACAUAAUAGGUGUUUCCCCCUUACAUGAUUUCAAUGACCGACUGUAUCUCAUGACACUGGAUACUAUCAAAUUCCCAUUAAUUUAUCUACAUGUCUUCAUCUGAUAUAUUUACCUCUAGAUAUCAACAUAGGACACAUACCCUAACCAAUAGGUUUCUCAUUUUCAUUGUUGACAAAGAAGAAAACAUUGGUCAUCUGCAUAAAUUGUGUUUCAAGUUUAGAAACUGAAUGAAUGCCCACGUGCGGUUUCAACUAUAUACUAAAUUUAACUUCAUCAGAACACAGCAUCACUAUUCGGCAAUCAUUUACAUCAGAAUCUCCCCAUUUUUGCCCCCAUUUCAGAGCAGACAUCAGAUACAAUUUGCCUAUUUUUACACGUACAUGCUGCAAACAGCAUUGCUGUCUCUUUUCACUGUGCAAUGUCAGCUAUUCCAAUUCAUAUUCCCCAUAGAGAAAGCACAAGAUUUGCAACUUAAUCAUCUUCUUUAAGCCCCCGUUUGGCCCCCGUUUCCUGAAAAUGAAAAUUGGUGGAAUAGUAUUUUUUUUGAAAAAUGAGUGAUUGAAAAAGAAUGAAAAGUUUUUGAUUUAUGUAUAAUAUUAUUUUAUGAAAGAUUGUGUGGUUGAAAGUAGGAGAAAGAAAAAUGAAAUGUAAUAUAAUUGAAUUUAAUGGGGGCCAGACGGGAGCUAAAACUCACCAAUCCCACCCACUUCCCAAAAAACUCAAUUUAACUGAAGUCAACUCAAUAAAGCUUCUUCUCACGCUUGAUUGGAUGAGUGACAAGGAUCUGCUGUCAGAACCACUUCUAUAACCUAAUCAAAGGCUCUAACCCCUUUUCAAUUAUCAAAGUUCACGUAUUUUUUUUAUAAAAAAUCUUCUCUAUACUAGCCCCGUUGUUUCUCCUGAUAAGUGCAUCUAAAUGCCUCAGUGACUGUACAAACUGUCUUAAUAAGUUCUCCAUCAAACAUUUGCCAAUUACAUACCAUGAUACGUAAAAGCUACAUUCGUUUUUAACAGUGUUAAUUCUAUAGAGCGUUCAAGAGGCUUAGGCUACCACAUUAGUCAACUACCCAUAGGAACCAAUCAAACCAAAUCAUAUCUUUUGAUCUAGAAGUACUGAUGUGCAAAAUUUGAGAUAUCACCAGUUCGGCAUGCUCCUAUGAUGUUACAUAAAAUCCAGUCCUCCCAUUGUUGUUCCACCCAUUCAUCAACAGUGAGAGCAAGACUUACAAUCUCUAGCUAUUUCCGUGUCAACAACAGCAAAAGAAAAGCAAACCAACCAGUAGAAAAACAUAAAUGGUGUGCUAACAAUCAGGUUAUCUAGGUAGGCAUCAAAUUUAGUUAAAUAAAUGUUCUAGAAAAAGAAGCUAAAUAAGUAACAAUAAUGCAGUUACAAUAUAGUGAUGAACGUUUGCAUGGGCAAGAAAAGGCAUAAUGAUGGGAUGGCUAACUUAAGUUCUUUAUAUGGCAGUUCAGCACUUCGCUUUUAAGUUCAUCACAUAUCUUAAAUGACAUAUACAUAACUCUUAUAGCACAACCAUAAAAGGAGGAAUACAUGCAACAUGCACAUUUCCUCUUCUAUCAACUGGUAAAAAUAGCAGUAAUAACCUAAUACUCCCUCUAUCACACAUAGACAGUAUGGGCUUCAAUAUUUAUCUAUUCCGAAAUACACGUCCUAGUAUUGAUUCAUCUAUUUUCACACCACCAUCUUAGUUGAAUAUAUCCGAGAAAAAUGUAACAGGGCGGAGAAUCAUUCACUAUAACCUCAUCCAUUUUUCUAUAUCAAUUAGCUAGCUUCCAGGGUCUGACUGAUACACAAGUAGUAGAGAUCAUUACUCUGAUGUUCUAAAUUUAGAACCACUCAAGCCUAUAAUUCAUUGCCACAGACAAAAGUUUUGAAGUUUAAUUGAAUAUUUGACUCAGAACCUAAGUAGAGUCAGCAUAUAAUUCAAUAAGAUAUUUCUAAGAUAUUUCAAAUUAGACAGCGUACACUUAUGCCAACAAAUACGUGAAAAGAUUUUCUUAACAAAUAAAGAAGCAUAAGACGAGUUGUACUUGAUCUCUUAUAGCAGAAGUCUUAAGCAAUAUGAAUAAACCUACAACAAUAUAGCUGCAAAUAAUCACUAACGAGACCUAAAUCAAUGCCAAGCAGUGUUAACACUUUGAACGCCUGUAAAACCCAAUUAAGUUUCAAUUACAGAGAAGUUGGAUACACAAAUAAUUUUCUUCACAUGUUAGUUCAGCAAUGUAUUAAAGAAUAUGUAGAGAUAGUCAAUUAAGAACCAAAAGGAAAUGAUUUUAAGCAUAGGUAUAUACAAAGAGUUAACAACAAAUUAGCAUCUACUAAAAGCAUUGACAAGACAAGGAAAUUCGAAAUUGAAAAUUAUAAUCUUACACAGGUUUUUACUCCUGGGAAUUGUAACAUCUAUCACUUCAAUCUAACAUACUCAUGGUAAUAAAUACAUAUGAUACACUCAAAUGAGCAUUUAAAAACUAAGGUAAAUAGAAAAAACAUACAUUUUCACAAAAAUCAAAGUCGAUGACAGGUUUAAAAGAUGCCUUCUACUAUUAUAAUCACUUGGAAACCAAAAGGAUCUCAGGCUUCUUAGCCUUACUUGGUGUAUUUGCAUUGGACCCAGGGGCACUGGCUGUUGCUGAUGCUGAUGCUGAUGCUGCUGCGGCCUUCACUGCAUCACGCUCCCUAUUGUCCAGCUGAAUUAAACUCCUGGUAGCCAAAAUUGCCUGCGGAACCAGAUCAUGUGAAGCUCUAGCAUACAGAUGCCGCAAUGCCACUGAUGCUGCAUCCUUCAUCUCCAUUACAUUCAGAGGACCCAACAAACAGUGGCCCAAAAUUCUCAAAACUGGCUGCAGCAACUCCCAGGGAAGCGGAAUUCUACCAUCCGGCCUUGCAUCCUUGCAAUUAUCAUCCUCAAUAUCCAAAUCCGUAACCCUUGCCACCACGUUUUCAAUCUCAUUGAAAUUGACCCUCUGAUCUUUCUCAAACCCAUCAUUGUUCUCAAACCCGUGAUUAUUUUCCACAACAUUUUCAGGUUUUUUGUCAAAAUCUGACGUACAUGGGCAAUCCUGACCGGCCCAUUCAGCUGUGAAUUUACAAAAAUCAAGCUUUGACCAAAUGGGCAUCUGCGAGAUCUGCUUAUAAUAACAAUCCAGAGCAACCCCAACAAUGCAGGCACGUUUAGUUGAUUUCACUGCGAUCUGUGGUUCUAAAGGCGGCGAUAAAACCCCAACCAAAGGCUUAACCUGAGAAUUGGCGGAAUUAGGGUUCGAUUUAACGGGAUUCCGAGGGGGGUGAUAGAGUGAAGGUUGAGAGAGAUCCGGGAUUGAAAUAGUUACAGGUUUGCCAUUUCGUGAUUUGGUUUCGGAGGAAUAGAGGGCCAAGAGCACAGCUUCAAAACCGGCCAGAGAUACGGCGGUUGAAGAGGAGGGAUGGUGAAUGCGGUGAAGGUAUAGGGACGUAAGAAGGGGGAGAAAGGAGAGAACGACAAGACGGAGGUCUGGAUCGGAAGAAAGGAAAGUAUCAUAUAGCCACUGGCAGAGGGGGUCAGCGCCGGAGCCGGAGGAAGGGGAGGAAAGGGCGGCAGAAAAGGAGAAGUAGGCGGCAGAUGAGAGGAGGAGGGAGCGGGCAGGGCGAUCGGUGUCAGCGAGAGAUGAGAGGGAGAGAGAAGACUCUUCAUCAGUGGGGAGGAGAGAUGAUAGGAUGUGGAUGCGGGAACGGGCUUUGGAAAUGGUUUCCCACCAUGAGUGCAUGGAGUCGGAGGUGGGAGAGGGGGAGGAGUAGAGAUGUCCAUUUUGGUGGUGAGGGGUGGAAGAGUUAGGGUGGUGGUGGUCGGAGGAGGAAGUGGAGGAGCAAGGAGAGCCACGGGGGAGGUUAAAGUCCAUGGCAGCGGCGUAACGGUGGAGCGAAGAGAUUAAUGGAGGCUCCUCCUCUCCGUUGGAAGGAAGAACCGUGCUUCACUUCCAAGGCCACGAGGAGAUUAAGAGGAAACGAGCAUCUAGGUGUGAGAUGGCCAGAAAUUUUAUAUCGUAUCAAAUUCAGAGAUUCGAAAUUCAAAAUACCCCUAACGAUUGAAGUAUCAGAAGAUAAAAACGUAACAAUGUUACCAUCCUCCCUUGUUUGACAUUGUGCCAAAAAUACUUUUUUUUUUUUCCCUAUUUUUUCAUUCACGUAUAUUUUAAUAAAAUAAUAUUACGAAUGACGAUGCCAGUAUUGAUACACCCCGAGGAAUACAUCCCGAGGACUCCAUAUAUACCCCAUAUCAUCUCUCUGCCAUGGUCCUCGGGGUCUCCCUAAGACCUCGAGGUAUUAUUAUCCCCGAGAUUCCUCGAGGACAUAUUAACAUCCUCUCAAAUCCUCGAGAAUAGUCCUCGGGACAUAUACCACCAACAUACCUCCUAAUACCUGGGUAUCUAACAAACAAACCUGAUGCUACCAAAAAUCGUACCUGUAGAUUUUCCGAUACCUGAAACAAAGGCAACGAGGUGUGUUCUCGUCGCCCCUCCGAUGCUUAAGUCAGAAAGGGAGAUAUAUGCGUGAGGCUAUGUGCUGAAGAACAAUGUAAAAACGUACCUGAAUAAUGGCCCAAGGCUCUGCUUUUAUAGGAGUAGGUAGUGUAAUCCUAGUAGGAUUGUGUUGGUUGGAUGUUUUUAUCCAAGGGAAUUUCUAUUAUAAAGAGUAUCCUACUUGUAAUGGAAUUGUUUGACAAGUGGUGUAAGGGUUGAUGUAAAAUCCUUGGGUGUUUAGGUUUGUUAGUUAGGUACCCAGGUCUUACGAGGCAUGUUGGUGGUGUAUGUCUCGAGGACUACUCUCGAGGACAUUUGGGGAAGGUAAACGUGUCCUCGAGGUAUCUCGACGACUAUGAUAUCUCGAGGACUUGGGUUACCCCGAGGACCAUAGGGAGAGAAAUGAGGUGGGGUAUGUAUUGAGUCCUCGGGGAUACACUCCUCGGGUAUAUCAAUAUUGGCAUAGUCAAAACCUAAACACCCAAGAAUUCUAUAUCAACUCUUAUACCACUUGUCAAACAAUUCCAUUACAAGUAGGACACUAUUUAUAAAUAGAAAUUCCCUUGGAUAAAAACAUCCAACCAGCACAAUCCUACUAGGGGUACACUACCUACCCCUAUAAAAGCAAAACCUUGUGCCAUUAUUCAGGUACGUUUUUUCAUUGUUCUCCAGCACAUAGCCUCACGCAUAUAAUUCCCUUUCUGACUUAAGCAUCGGAGGGGCGACGAGAACACACAUCGUUGCCUUUGUUUCAGAUACCGAAAGAUCACGUUCGUGCUCCUCAUCAGUCAUCAAGCUCGGAAAAUCUACAGGUACGAUAUUUGGUAGCAUCAUUGGCGCCGUCUGUGGAAAACGCUACCAAAAGCCAUGGUAAACACACGUUCAGGUCUUCCACCAGCAAGCUCAUCUGCUCCAAACCAGCCCCCUCCUGAGGAUAUCCCUGUUCCUCAAGAGGAAUCAUCAGAAGUGCCAGAGCCCCAGCCGGCAGAUGUCACUGCUAGAGCCUUUGAAGAGCUCAGACAACAGGUCGCCACACUGACUCAGCUACUAAGUCAAAGAAAUUCGCAUCCGUCACCCACACUAGCAUCCUAGGGGGGUUUUAUGGCUGAUGCUCGAGCUCGAGCUCAAAGACAUGUCCUUGACAAUGGCGGAGCAGGGGCCUCGGGUAUACCACAUGUGACCUCGGCCUCGAGAUCAGUGACCAUGGAGUCCGGGGAACUCGCUAAGAUUAUUCAAGAAGGAAUUACGGCAGGCCUAUUUCAGGGCAACAAAGGGACGACAAGAUUCAGUCCCAACACUCCCUUUACUCCCAAGAUAUUAACAUUUCCCUUGCCAGACAGAUUUAAGUAUUCUAGGAUCAAAGAAUAUGAUGGGACCACCGAUCCAAUCAAUUAUCUUAACGUAUACACGGACGUCAUGAAUCUACAGGUCGCACUAGAUCAGGUGAUGUGCAAGGCCUUCUUGCAAACUUUGACGAAUGCUACUAGGGAUUGGUUCUCAACCUUAGAGCCCAACUCCAUAGCCUCAUUCUCGGAUUUGACGGACAAGUUCUCUGUUUUCUUCGCAAACAGUAAACACAUUAGGAAGACAGCGGCUUCCCUCAUGCAACUUAGAUAAGGGCAAAAUGAGACCCUACAUGACUUUAUGACCAGGUUCAACAAGGAAAGACUUCAGAUUCCCGACCUACACAUAACUGCAGCAGUUUCUGCCCUCACAUAUGCCAUAAAGUGUGAGGCUUUCAAGAUGUCUUUAUCCAAAACUCCGCCAAAGACAGUGAUCAAGCUUCUUACCCGAGCCGAGAAGUACAUAAAUAUGGAGGAAACACUGAACCCGAGAAAGGUUGGACCCGAACCCCCGUGAAGAACAACAUUGGAAAAAACAGAGACAGGAGGUUCCCCCGACGUCAUUCACGCGUUUAAAUACGUCAAAGACCAAUAUAUUGAUGGAGAUCAAGGAUAUGAAGGAACUCAAAUGGCCUGUCAGAAUGAGGUCACCACCCGAAUCCAAGGACAUGAACAAGUACUGUGAGUUCCAUCGGGAUCAUGGGCAUACCACGGAGAACUGUAAGGCCUUGCAACGGGAGAUUGAAGCCCUUAUUAAAAGAGGACUCCUGAGUUCCUACGUCGGUAAUGACAAAUGCUCGAGGAAUGAUCUUGGCAGGGAAAAAGCCCCUGAGGCAAAAAGGGAUGGUCAACCCACUGCUGGAACCAUCAAUAUCAUCAUUGGAGGUAUUGCCUCGGGAGGAGACUCCAACAGUGGAAGAAAACAAUAUGCCCGACAAUAUGCCUUGGCCUCUGGGAUGCCUCAUGGAAAGCUUGAGGAUAUUAUUUUUGGGACCGGGGGCUUAGAAGGUGUAUCACUUCCACAUGAUGACGCCUUGGUAAUCUCAGGGAUUGUGGCCAAUUUUGAAGUAAAGAGAAUCUUGGUUGACAAUGGGAGUGCGGCCAAUAUACUUUCACAAGAAGCUUUGGCCAAAAUGGAAAUCUCAUCUUAGCAGCUCAAAGCGGUUAAAACUCCUCUCCAGGGGUUUGGGGAAGGAGUCAUCACUCCAGAGGGUGUCGUCGAGCUUCCUCUAACUUUGGGUUCUUGCCAGAAAUAGGUUACGGAGAUGACAUCUUUUCAAGUGGUACAUGUCUCAAUGGCCUAUAACGCUAUUUUGGGAAGACCACUCCUGAACAAGAUUAAAGCCAUUGUGUCUACAUUCCACCUGGCCAUGAAGUUUCCAACAAGUAAUGGCGUUGGGGUCGUCCGUGGAGACCAGACAGCUGCCAGACAAUGCUAUGUUGCCAGCGUUCGGGAAAUAAAUAACGACGUCAUGCAAAUCUCGAGGAUUGAGCCCGAGGUCGGGCAACAAAUCAGACUUGCUCCUGUCGAAGAAUUGAUGGAAAUUGAGCUCGAGCAUGAUAUGAAGGUGACGAUUGAUCGAGAUCUUGACGUCACCCUAAAGACAGAACUUGUUCGUUGCUUAUCUCGCAACAUUGACGUUUUUGCCUGGAAGGUUGAGGAUAUGCCAGGGAUAGACCCUAAAAUUGCAGUCCAUAGGCUUAACAUUAGCCCAGGGGCCAGAGCAGUAAAGUAGAGGAAAAGACGGUUUGCCCUAGAACGUUGGGAGGUCAUUCGCAAAGAAAUUAACAAACUCGUCAGUGCCCAGUUCAUUCGGGAGGUCCAAUAUCCCGAUUGGCUUGGCAAUGUUGUUUUAGUGAAGAAGGCCAAUGGUAAGUGGAGGGUCUGCAUUGACUUCACAGAUCUUAACAAAGCAUGUCCAAAGGAUAGUUAUCCCCUACCGCAGAUUGACAACUUGGUGGAUAGCACGUCUGGACAUAAGCUGUACAGCUUCUUGGAUGCAUUUUCUGGUUAUCAUCAAAUCCUCAUGGCCGAGGAAGAUCAAGAAAAGACAUCAUUCAUGGCCGAUUCCACCAUAUACUGUUAUAAGGUCAUGUCUUUCGGUUUGAAAAAUGCAGAGGCAACAUACCAAAUGCUCAUCAACAAAGUCUUUGCUAACUUGAUUGGAAGGAAUGUGGAGGCGUACGUUGAUGACAUGGUGGUCAAGAGCAAACAGGAGGACCAGCAUAUUUUAGAUCUUGAAGAGGUUUUCGAUACCUUGCGAAAGUACGAAAUGAAGUUGAAUCGCCCAAAAUGUGCAUUUGGCGUGGCCUCGGGCAAGUUCUUGGGCUUUAUGAUCACUCACCGGGGGAUAGAGGCCAACCUUGACAAAAUACAAGCCUUAGCGUCUAUGGAAUCACCAAGGAACAAGAAAGAGGUACAGAGGUUGACUGGUAGGAUAGCAGCCUUGAACAGGUUCAUGUCCCGAGCAUCAGACAGGUGCUAUCCCUUCUUCAAAGUCCUCAGAGGAAACCAAGGCUUUGAUUGAAGUGAAGACUGUGAGAAAGCUUUUUAGGAGCUCAAGCAGACAUUGGCAUCUCCUCCUAUUCUCACUAUGCCUGAGCCUGGUGACACCUUAUUUUUGUACCUGGCCGUAUCUCAAAACACGGUCAGCGGGGUCUUGGUGAAAGAAGUUAACAAAGUCCAACAACCUAUCUACUAUGUAAGCAAGGUCCUACUGGAUGCGGAAACAAGGUAUACUUUGGCGGAACAACUUGCCCUUGCCUUGGUUAUAGCAGCACAAAAACUCCGGCAGUAUUUUCAGUCUCACCCUAUUGUGGUGCUCACUAAUCAACCACUUAGGCAUAUACUUCAGAAGCCGGACGUAUCGGAAAGACUGAUGAAAUGGGCAAUCGAGCUUGGAGAAUUUGACAUAGAAUUCAAACCACGCCCAUCUAUCAAAGCCCAAGCACUAGCCGACUUCAUUGCAGAACUAACCCCUAGGCCUCGGGGGCCAGAUGACAGCUCGAGCAUGAGCAAUAAUUUGGACACUUGGCAAAUAUUUGUGGAUGGAGCAUCGAACUCCUCGGGCUCGGGCGCAGGGGUCAUCAUCAUCAGCCCUGACAAACAAACAGAGAUCCAAUGCGUUCUCAGGUUCGAGUUUGAAGCAACCAACAAUGAGGCCGAGUAUGAGGCUGUCGUUAUUGCUAUGGAGCUAGCCCUUUGCCUUGAGCUCGAGUUCGUAAAGAUAUUCAGUGAUUCACAACUGGUGGUCGGACAGAUUGAAGGAUCAUUUGAAAGGAAAGACGAGAAAAUGAGUUUGUACUGUAUGAAGGUUCAGGAUCUUCAACGAAAAUUCAAGAGUUGUGAAAUUGCAAAAAUUGCUCUAAAGGACAACGGAAAAGCCGACGUAUUAUCCAGGCUUGUGUUCAUGGGGGUAGACGGCCUUGAUAGAACAGUUCACAUUAAAAUCAUCACAGAACCCAGCAUCAGUCAAAUCCUCGACAUCAUGGACAUUGACAACGAACCAUCCUGGAUGGACCCAAUCAUAGAAUUCAUCACAAGUGGAAAUCUACCAAGAAAUGCCAGGUUGGCUAGAAGCAUCAGAGCUCGAGCUCCUAGGUACUGCAUGAUCAGCGGUGUUCUCUUUCGUAGAAGUAUUACUCUUCCAUACCUAAGGUGCCUCAGACCAUCAGAGUCAUCCCAGACCCUUGCUAAAGUUCAUGAAGGUGUGUGCGGGAAUCAUCAAGGAGCCAGGGCCUUGGCCUUUAAACUCGUACGAUAUGGGUAUUAUUGGCCAACUAUGAAAAAAGACGCCUCAGAAUAUGUUAAAAGAUAUGAUAGGUGCCAGAUGUUUGGUAAUGUUAUCCACUCACCAGCCGAAGACCUCACCAACAUUAACUGUUCGGCCCCGUUUGAACAAUGGGGAGUAGAAAUCCUCGGCCCCUUUCCUGUGGCAAGAGGUCAAUUAAAGUUUGUUGCUGUAGUAGUAGAGUACUUCACAAAAUGGGUAGAUGCCAAACCUCUCACCACAAUAUCGGAGCCCAAGCUAAGAGCCUUCACUUAGAGAUCUAUCAUUUGCAGGUUUGGGAUACCUAGGGAUGUAAACGAGCCGGGCCGAGUCGGCUCGCGAGCCUAAAAUUUCGGCUCGGGCUCGACCCGGUUAAAAUGACCGAGCUUUUUUGCGGGCUCGAACCGGGCCGAUUGCUCGGCCAAAAAAAAUGGGCUCAGCUCGGGCUUUUUACGAGCCAAGCCGGGCAAGCUCGUUUUCUCCCCAAUUUUUUUUCUUCCCUCCUGCUGCCUUAAAAGGCAGCAAGCUGAAGGCAGCGAACUGCUGCCUGUUUUGCCUUAAAUUUUUUUUAUUAAAAAGCUCGCGAGCUCACGGGCCGGCUCGGGCAAAGCCCGUGUCCCCAAAAUGGGGCUCGACCCGAGCUUAGGCUCGGGUCUACCAAACCCCGAGCCGAGCCACGGGCGGCCCGAGUCGGCGAGCCCGAUUGCCAUCCCUAGGGAUACCAAAGGUCCUCAUCACCGACAAUGGCAGGCAAUUUGACAAUCAACAGUUUAGGGACUUUUGCUCAAACCUUGGGAUUGAUCACCGUCUAACACCAGUUUCGCAUCCUCAGAGCAGGCGACUUGGUUCUGAGGAGGGCUGAAGCUGCAGGUCACCCCCCAGGGAAGCUCGGGCCCAUCUGGGAAGGACCCUUUAAGGUCAUACGACAGGUUCGCAAAGGAGCGUACAGUCUAAGAGACACUUCGGGUAGACCUCUUCCAAGGCCCUGGAAUGCUGAUAAUCUGAAAAUAUAUUACAAGUAACAUUCUCGAUGCCAUCUAGGAGAUUUUCUUUUUAUUCCUGCAUUUUUUCUUCUGAAUAUUAUUUUUGGUUCCUCGGGCCUGCGCGCCCUUGCCUUUUAUUUCUCUAGUUUAGCGGGCCUGCGUGCCCAUGCAUGUUUUCUGUUUUCUCUCAUAAUGAACUACGUUCGGCUUGAUCCCGUUUGGGUACGUAGGCAGCUUGGAUACAAUAUAAAUCCAAGUCCAGUCUGAGAAAUUAGUAAAUUCAAACCUCGGGUAUAACAGCCCUUUAGUUUACUUUGCGUCCAGGAAUCACCAAAGUCUUGCCUCGAGCAAGCUCCAAAGCCUUGCCCGCGCAAGCACAAAAAGCCUUGCCCCGAGCAAGCACUCAAAAAAGCCUUGUCCCGUGCAAGCACCAAAGCCUUGCCCUGCGCAAGCACAAAAAGCCUUGCCCGCGCAAACACAAAAAGCCUUGCCCCGAGCAAGCACUCAAAAAAGCCUUGCCCCGUGCAAGCACCAAAGCCUUGCCCCGAGCAAGCACCAAAGCCUUGCCCCGCGCAAGCACAAAAAGCAUUGCCCUGCGCAAGCACCAAAGCCUUGCCCUGUGCAAGCACAAAAAAGCCUUGAUCAUAUACUCAAGCGUAAACCGUUAUAGUAACACCCGGAGACAUACAAAAAUCCUACAUCAUUUUUUACAAUCCCUUGAGGAUAUCACAUGAGCAAAUAACAACUAUUUAAGUUAGUUGUGCUCGAGGUUUACAGUCCUCGAGAAUAUUACAACCCAACUUUUUAAGUUAGUUGUGCUCGAGGUUAACAGUCCUCGAGAAUAUCACAACCCAACUUUUUAAGUUAGUUGUGCUCGAGGUUUACAGUCGUCGAGAAUAUCACAUCCCAACUUUUAAGUUAGUUGUGCUCGAGGUUUAGAGUCCUCGAGAAUGUCGCAUUAUUUCAUUUUAAUCCCUUAAGAUUAUAUGCUCGAGUUGUAGAAUCCUCGAGUAAACUCUUCAAUGUUGCAUGAGCAGUUAAUUUCCAAUUUGUUUGCUCGAAUGUAUGAAGUCCAAGGGGUCGGGAUAAAUAGUUCAAAUAAAUUAACUUCAGAACAUACAUAGUCCUCGAUCAAAAUACAUGUUCAAAGUUUAAACAAAAAUUACAAAAGAUCGGGGUGGGGAAGUCAUCCAAUGUGGCCAAGAGGAGGGUCGAGGUUGCUAAUGUUGAUCUCAACGUCAUCCUCAAGACCGUCCUCCUCAUCUCCGCCCGAUCCUCCUCCAUCUUCUGAACCCGAGAGCUCCAAAGUAUCAGGAAUGGAAGGCACUGUCUUCAGGUCAUCCGGAGUGACGUCGGGCAACUUCUGACGGAGGAAGGCUCGGGCUUCUUUCAGAGCAUGGAAGUACGCCCCCGACGCGUACUCCCCUUUUAUCUUGUCACAGUCCUCGGAGGUUUUAAACUCCUCCCAGGCCCUCUCCCUAACAGCCGCGAGCUCGCGCUCAAAAUUCUCUGUCUUCUGGAUAAGCUCGAGCCUCGCACCCUCGACCUCAUCCUUUGCUACAACAAGGUCAUCCCUGGCCUUUGCAGCCUCCAUCCUUGCGUCAUCACGCUCCUUCAAUAAAACCUCGACUGAGCCUCGAGGUCUUGAAUCCUACUGUCCUUGGAGGCCAUGGACUUCUCGACCCCAGCUGCCCUCUUGGCCUCCUCGAGUCCUUGCAAAGAAAGUCCUCGAGCUACACUCAACAUCUUGAAAAAAUGAAGAAAAUGUCAAGUAUUAAUCUCGACCAAAAAACUUGAGGCUAGAAGUCGAAAGUUCGAAGAUUACCUUCACCGUAAGACCCUUGAGGACCUUCAUCCCAUCCUCGAGCUUCACCUCCUCUUUGUAUUUGUUUACGAGCUUAGGAGCGAGGUGGCGAGUCUCAAAGUCCCCGGUAAGAUACGGGUCAUCCUCAAGGUCAACCACUUCAGAAAGAGGUCGAGGAGUGACGACCCGAGGAGUGGGAGAUCUAAGGUUCGGUUGCAGAUGUUUCGCCAGGCCCCCUCACACCCUCAGGAGUUCCUCGAGGCCUCUUCUUGCCUUUCUUCUUCGGGGGUUGCCCCUGUGGAUGAGUGUCAGUCCUUGUGCUGACAAAGUUCCGAAGAGCCCAAGGAUCAAAAGACAUACCUGCAAAAAUUUACAAACAUUUUAGAACGAGCACAAGGUCAGGCUAUUUUUCAAAAAAAAUAAUAAAGGAACAUCCCUACCCUCGACGCCUCUAAUAUCUGCCAGGUCUAUAACCUCUUCCCCAAUCUCCUUCAUCGUCGAGAAAAGGGGGCUGAGCCCGACCAGCAUCCUCCUAUGCUCUUCCAAAACAUCCGGAUACACUUGGCCCUCACAGAACUUCUCGGCGUCGGGGAUUCCCCAAUCAGGCCAGAAAGGAAGGUUGGGUUCUUGGGCUAUAACAUAAAACCACCCCUCCCUCCACCCCUUCAAAGAGCUCAUCAUCCUCGGGACUUUAAAACCUCCAAUCGUCGAGAGAUAGCCAAAACAAGUGUAUCGAGGAUGCUUCUUAAGCUCGAACACUAAUUUACUGAGGCCAAUGUUGGGCUCGAUACCUAAGUAUCUACAUGCUAUAAAAAAAUGAACGAGCAUUCUCUAGGCGUUGGGCACUAACUGCCCCGAGCACAUGGAGUGCUCGACUAAUAGAGCAAUGAAGAAGGGGCUACCUAAAGCCAGCCUUAAGGGUCUCCCUAAAAAUAACAAACUCCCCUCGUCGUGCUCGAACAAUCCUAUCCUCGGGGUCAGGAAAUCUAACAUCGCAAUUAGGCAUUAUACCGUAUUCCCUAGCUACAGCUAUGGCUGAGUGCUCUUUAAGCCUGCAGGGUUUGUCGGGAUACUCAAAAACCAUAUUAACCUGAGCCUCAGGAGUAGCCUCUAGGGGAAUAGCCAUUGGUAUUAUCGAGGUCCCUACGUCAUCACUACUACUAGAACUACUAGAAGAAUCUCGACCCUCACUACUCGACAUCACUUAGCAAACUUAAGACCUAGCUUAUGAAUAACUUAAAGUCUCGAGCCUUACCUGGAGUUCCUGACGACUUGAGAAGUUUCCAAAGUGUUUCUCUCGAGCACGACCUCGCAGAAUUCAGAUUUACAGUGGGUAAAAGUGAAAAAUAAAGGUGAGAACAACAGUAUUUAUAGGUGAAAACGACGGGAGGCCAAAAGUCGCUAUCUACGACCGUCCACGAAGACAUGUGUCACAAAUCCAAGCCCUUCUCUGCAACGGUCAUAUCUCGACCUCUAUCAUCAGCCAUCACUUCUCGACGACGAUUCAAGAAAUGACAUAACCCAUGUGCACCCCAUCCUAAGAGCUCGAUCUCUAGGACGAGUGCACGGGGGCCAGUGACGAUGCUAGUAUUGAUACACCCCGAGGAAUACAUCCCGAGGACUCCAUAUAUACCCCAUAUCAUCUCUCUGCUAUGGUCCUCGGGGUCUCCCUAAGACCUCGAGGUAUUAUUGUCCUCG
rnacentral:lncRNA from 1 species